UCUCCGUUGGUGAACCAGCGGAGGGAUCAUUACAGAGUUGCAAAACUCCCAAACCACUGUAAACCUUACCCCAACUGUUGCUUUAGCGGAGGUACCUCGCGGUGCCGCGACCUCAGGCCCGCUAGAAGCUCACUACACUAUGUUAUUCAUUGGCAUCUCUGAGGCACUAUAAAAUGAAUCAAAACUUUCAACAACGGAUCUCUUGGUUCUG
rnacentral:misc_RNA from 1 species